GUAUGACAUGUUAAAAAGAAUGUAUAAUAUUUAACUGUAUGCCUUUUUAGAGCAUUUCAUGUUUUAGUCAUUUAACUAUUCACAGUAAGAAAUUUCACCAACAUGCCACUAUACAGUAUUGAGUUGAAACAGUCCAGUAGCAAUUUCCAACCAACCUUCAAACAUGGCUUUGGACACUGGGUGUAUGUUUCUUUAAGUUAAAAGUACAGCUUUGCCGCACACUGCAACGAAAGCAUGCUGAGAGGUCUGCCAGGAUUGAGCUUCUGACAUUCAAAGGUGAGCUGACAGUUGCUGGACGAGACCCCAUGCCCCCUUCCUUUACACCCGCCCUCUGUCCAGCAGGGGUCCUGCAAAGUGUGAGCAUCAGCAAGCAGAGUUAGACCAACAAAGGCAGAAAACUUGGGAAUGGAGUGUGCCUUUGAUCUCGCUCCUGGACAUAACCUAUUCCAGAGGAAUAUGCAUUGACUCCUACUGAAGCUUCCGCUACAUGUUAUCAUGGGGCUUGUCCUAUUCACAGUGUUCCAUUGUGUCAUGCUGUUGGUGUAAGUUAUCCUCCAGUGGACCAGUCAAAACAGUAAGUUCAUUCUGGUGAGGCCACUAUUGUAACAGUAGAACACUCCAUACCUCCAUACUGUCCUCACAAAAUCAACCAGGGGGUUUGACAUCAUGUUAUCUUUACCAAAUAUUGUCUUGUUUUCUGUUGUUUGUUUGCCUUAAUGUACAGCACUUUGGUUAAAUGUUGUUGUUUAUAAAAGUGCUACAUAAAUAAAUUGACAUUGGCAUUGCCAAAUAUAAAAGCACAACUUCACCUUUGCAAAAAAAAAAAUCUAAUCAGAACUUGGGAGUUUAUUUUUUUUUUUCAGUCUUCCUUUUCAGUAGAAAGGUACGGAGGCCUGGAGGUGACAUGAAAAAAAGAAAAGAAACGAAGGUUAAAAAAAAACUGAGAAAAGAACCACACACGUUCCGGAGAGCUUCAGCCAGGCUGCAGUGUCAUUGUCGGCAAAAUCACUGAAAGAGACGCAACGGGAAGCAACGGGAGCAACCGCACCGGCCCGGUCAGGAGGGG